UAACCUGCCUGUGAGAGGGGGAAAACAGCUGGAAACGGGUGCUAAUACCGCAUAAAAGCAUAAUAAUCGCAUGAUUGAUAUGCCAAAGAGAGAUCGCUCACAGAUGGACUCGCGUCUGAUUAGAUAGUUGGUAGGGUAAAGGCCUACCAAGUCUGCGAUCAGUAGCCGGACUGAGAGGUUGAACGGCCACAUUGGAACUGAGAGACGGUCCAG
rnacentral:rRNA from 1 species